CAGUAGCCGCGGUAAAACGUAGGGCGCAAGCGUUGUCCGGAAUUAUUGGGCGUAAAGAGCUCGUAGGCGGUCUGUCGCGUCUGGUGUGAAAUCCCGAGGCUCAACCUCGGGCUUGCAUCGGGUACGGGCAGACUAGAGUGCGGUAGGGGAGACUGGAAUUCCUGGUGUAGCGGUGGAAUGCGCAGAUAUCAGGAGGAACACCGAUGGCGAAGGCAGGUCUCUGGGCCGCAACUGACGCUGAGGAGCGAAAGCAUGGGGAGCGAACAGGAUUAGAUACCCGUGUAGUCCCUGUCUCUUAUAC
rnacentral:rRNA from 1 species